rnacentral:rRNA from 1 species
UACGUAGGGUGCGAGCGUUGUCCGGAAUUAUUGGGCGUAAAGAGCUUGUAGGCGGUCUGUCGCGUCUGCUGUGAAAAUCCGGGGCUCAACCCCGGACUUGCAGUGGGUACGGGCAGACUAGAGUGUGGUAGGGGAGAGUGGAAUUCCUGGUGUAGCGGUGAAAUGCGUAGAUAUCAGGAGGAAUACCGGUGGCGAAAGCGACUCUCUGGACGGCAACUGACGCUGAGGCACGAAAGCGUGGGGAGCAAACAGG